UCCCAAAACCCAGCCAUUUGGGU
rnacentral:snRNA from 1 species